GGAGUGGCACAGUUGGUAGCGCAGCUGAUUCGUAAUCAGCAGGUCGUGGGUUCAAGUCCCAUCUCC
rnacentral:tRNA from 2 species